rnacentral:rRNA from 1 species
GAUGAACGCUAGCGGCAGGCCUAAUACAUGCAAGUCGAGGGGUAUGGGUUGCUUGCAACCCAGAGACCGGCGCACGGGUGCGUAACGCGUAUGCAAUCUACCUUAAUCAGGGGGAUAGCCCGGAGAAAUCCGGAUUAACACCGCAUAACAUUGAGUUGUGGCAUCACAGUUCAAUCAAAUAUUUAUAGGAUUAAGAUGAGCAUGCGUGACAUUAGUUAGUUGGUGAGGUAACGGCUCACCAAGACCACGAUGUCUAGGGGAUCUGAGAGGAUGACCCCCCACACUGGUACUGAGACACGGACCAGACUCCUACGGGAGGCAGCAGUAAGGAAUAUUGGUCAAUGGGCGCAAGCCUGAACCAGCCAUGCCGCGUGCAGGAAGACGGCCCUAUGGGUUGUAAACUGCUUUUGUACCGGAAUAAACCUGCUCUUGCGAGAGAAGCUGAACGUACGGUAAGAAUAAGGAUCGGCUAACUCCGUG